AGUGCGCGUCAGAUGGGCUUAAUGACAUUUGGCUUUUUUCUCCCCCCCCUUAAAAAGAUUUUCUUCAGGGUCAUAAACUAUUUCUACGGACGAGUGACCUAGGAAACACACACGCACCAGUGUGCCUUUGGACAAGACACCCUCCUACCCCUCCCUCCCCACUCCAGCAUCGAGGUGGACACAGAUUGGAGAAAUGAAUACGGCAGGUGGAACAGAGGGAAACCCGCAGAAAGGAAUGAAAUAAAGAGAAGUCAAUGAAACAGAAACAGACCACAGAGAUAAUGAACAAAGACAAACACUGAGACUUCGAGAUUAACAAAAUGGACAGAGCCCUGGCUACUAUGAUCAGGAAGAAAAAAGAGCACGAAAAUCACCAGUAUCAGGAAUAAGGAGAGGUUAGUUAUCAGCACAGAUCCUACAAAUAUCAGUAAGAAAAUGCUAUAGAUAACUUUUUGCCAAGAAAUACGACAAUGCAGAUGAAACGAACACAUUUAUUGGAAGAGAGACCUUACAAUAUUGACACAAGAAGGAAUAGAAGAUCUGAUCAGCCCUAUAGCUUAUUACAGAGCUUGAACUUGGGACGCCUGGGUGGUUCAGCUGAUUAAGCCUCCGACUUCGGCUCAGGUCAUGAUCUCACGGUUCUUGAGUUCAAGCCCUGCGUCAGGCUCUGUGCAGACAGCUCAGAGCCUGGAGCCUGAAUCGGAUUCUGUGUCUCCCUCUCUCUCUCUCUCUGCCCCUCCCCUGCUUGCGCUCUGUGUGUGUCUCUCUCUCAAAGAUAAAAUAAAACAUUAAACAAAAUUUU